rnacentral:rRNA from 2 species
UCUGGCCUCAAAUCAGGUAGGACUACCCGCUGAACUUA